AGCAGCGUGGCUCAGUGGAAAGAGCCCGGGCUUGGGAGGCCGAGGUCACGGGUUCAAAUCCCGGCUCCGCCA
rfam:Ornithorhynchus anatinus chromosome 3, whole genome shotgun sequence.